CAUUUCUAAACUGCUUUUUACCACAGCCUUUACCGUCUACUUGUGAUUAAAAUUCCUUCUCCAGAUACCAUAAAAGAUGUUUGUGUUUCUUUUUUAUUAUUAUUAUUAUUAUUUUUAAAAGCUCUUAGUGGCUGGAGAUACAGUUCAGUUGAUAACAUGCUUGCCUGACAUGCACAAGGCUCCUCCAGUAUCAUCCGGACUUGGUGGUGCGUGCUUGUAAUCCAGCCCUUGGGAGGUGGAAGCAGGAUGCUCAGAUAGGUUUUAAAUUCAUCUUCAUCUCCCUAGAGCUGCUUAGAUGAGUAAAACCUUGUUUCAAAAGAAAAAAAAAAGACAUUUUUAGAGUCAUAUUUCCUCUAAACUGUCCUGUCAAUGCUGUGUGUCCAGAAUUCCAGAAGAGCUCAUGAGUGAUAGUUAAAAGAUUGGCCUUUGUGGUCAGCACUGUGUAGAGAAUCCAUAAUUUUGGUGUUGGAUCCUAAAUUCCAUCCUAUAUGUGCAUGAAUGAUGUUAUAUUCACAUAUACAACAGCCCAAACACAAAUAUAUAAAAAUAUGUGUAUUUAAUGUAUCACAUUAGAGUCCAAGCAAAAUAUGUUUUGGGGAUGGGAGAUGACAUUGGCUAAAUUUAUAGCUACAAGUUUAGCAGCGAACCUCUUGGUCUUCUCUUAAGCCCAGAGAAUAGUGAAAGGAGAGUCAUUCUUUCCUGUGAACUUUCCUGAGGAGGCUGAGUUUCAGGGGGAAGAUGGCUGCUGAGGCAGUGGUGAAGGACGCAUCCUGGAGGUGGGCGCUGACUGGUAAGGAUGGAUAAUCGCUAUCUCCAAACAGCCCGCUAUUCUGACAGACUGUGAAAGGUCCUCUUGUAGCCCUGGUUGCAACUGUGAUCUGUCUGUUCAGACUCACUGAAGUUGGGUGUAGUGUGGUCUAAGACAGGAUGGCUACAAGUCUGAGGCUAGCCCAAACUGUAGAGUAGUUCCUGUCUCCAAAUAGAAGUUCUCAUGGAAGUUUCCCUCCUGUCUCUGCACCACUGGAGCCCUUCUUACCAGACUUUAUGUUAUUUUGCUUAUAAGUUACUACAUUCAUGGUAGUUCCUACCCCAGUAAUUAAUCACCAUUAAUAGUUAUUAUUAAUAACCAUUAAUUAUAACUAAUAACUAACCAGCAUUAGCCAUUAUUAACUUCUCUACUUAUCUCUGCUUUCUCUUCCUACCCUGCUGCAUAAUCUGAUUGUAAGAAUAAAGACUUAAAAUUCC
rnacentral:lncRNA from 1 species